rnacentral:rRNA from 1 species
UACAGAGGCCUCGAGCGUUAGGCGGAAUCACUGGGCUUAAAGCGUGUGUAGGUGGAUGCCUAAGUACCUUGUGAAAUCCCACGGCUUAACCGUGGAACUGCUGGGUAUACUGGGCGUCUUGAGCCACUCAGGGGCUACCGGAACAAGCGGUGGAGCGGUGAAAUGCGUAGAUAUCGCUUGGAACGGCCAAUGGUGAAAACAGGUAGCUGGGGGUGUGCUGACACUGAGACACGGAAAGCCAGGGGAGCAAACGGGAUAG